rnacentral:rRNA from 1 species
GGUUCCGUAGGUGAACCUGCGGAAGGAUCAUUC